AGCCACAGAAGCCCACAUGGCUGGGAAAGGUGAGCACAGGGUGACCUGGCAUCCUCAGGAGACUGCAGAUACUGCCUCCCCUGAAGAAAGGCGGUCUCAGCUCUUGUGGAGCUUUAGAAGUUCUGUGCAGGGGCUGCACUCCAGACCUACAAGAUCAGAACAGGAGUGUCCAUCCCUCAUCUCACAGCUGAAGGCUGACCAGGGAGAGCACGAUGUCACCACACUGUCAGAGGCAAAGAGGACAUCGACCGGAAGGGCUUGUUGGCAUUGUGGGCAACAGGUUGAAAGCAGGAGGAAGUAGGUGUGAUGCGGCUGGAGGACAGUGAGGUACAUGGAGCUGUGGCAACCAUCUUGCAUUCACAAGGCAACAGUCUAAGAGAAAGUCAAGAAGCCAAGGAUGGAAGAACAGGAAGACCCUAGGUCCUUCUGCCAAUCAUGGAUCAUCAUGUCUUGGGACUGCCAACCUCCAGGCUGUUCACAUUAGAUAAGUAAAUGUCUGUGCAUCAAAGCCUGACUUAAAAGUGGCCUGAUGCUGAUGCCCAACAUGCAAAGAUUGAAAGAAUCUCUUUAGUAAAGGAGCUUCCUGUCUAGGAAUGAGAUAAAAAAGCAAACAGAUAUGACACCACGAUGAUGUCUGGUAAUGCCUGAAAGGUUAUAUAGGUUCAAGUAGUUACCUAAAAAAAUGCAAUCUUAUUUAGACAAGUAUGAUCACAGAUGAAGUUCAUGGAAAAUGAUUCUUUGUGGAGUAUCCUUUUAAUUCAGAGAGAUUCAAUGACAGAUGGGACUCCUGGGGUCCCUUCUUUUUCAGACCUCCCUUUUCUCUCUGA